AAAAGAUGAGUGGCGAACGGGUGAGUAACACGUGGGUAACCUGCCCAUCAGAAGGGGAUAACACUUGGAAACAGGUGCUAAUACCGUAUAACAAUCUAAACCGCAUGGUUUUGAUUUGAAAGGCGCUUUCGGGUGUCGCUGAUGGAUGGACCCGCGGUGCAUUAGCUAGUUGGUGAGGUAACGGCUCACCAAGGCCACGAUGCAUAGCCGACCUGAGAGGGUGAUCGGCCACAUUGGGACUGAGACACGGCCCAAACUCCUACGGGAGGCAGCAGUAGGGAAUCUUCGGCAAUGGACGAAAGUCUGACCGAGCAACGCCGCGUGAGUGAAGAAGGUUUUCGGAUCGUAAAACUCUGUUGUUAGAGAAGAACAAGGAUGAGAGUAACUGUUCAUCCCUUGACGGUAUCUAACCAGAAAGCCACGGCUAACUACGUGCCAGCAGCCGCGGUAAUACGUAGGUGGCAAGCGUUGUCCGGAUUUAUUGGGCGUAAAGCGAGCGCAGGCGGUUUCUUAAGUCUGAUGUGAAAGCCCCCGGCUCAACCGGGGAGGGUCAUUGGAAACUGGGAGACUUGAGUGCAGAAGAGGAGAGUGGAAUUCCAUGUGUAGCGGUGAAAUGCGUAGAUAUAUGGAGGAACACCAGUGGCGAAGGCGGCUCUCUGGUCUGUAACUGACGCUGAGGCUCGAAAGCGUGGGGAGCAAACAGGAUUAGAUACCCUGGUAGUCCACGCCGUAAACGAUGAGUGCUAAGUGUUGGAGGGUUUCCGCCCUUCAGUGCUGCAGCUAACGCAUUAAGCACUCCGCCUGGGGAGUACGACCGCAAGGUUGAAACUCAAAGGAAUUGACGGGGGCCCGCACAAGCGGUGGAGCAUGUGGUUUAAUUCGAAGCAACGCGAAGAACCUUACCAGGUCUUGACAUCCUUUGACCACUCUAGAGAUAGAGCUUCCCCUUCGGGGGCAAAGUGACAGGUGGUGCAUGGUUGUCGUCAGCUCGUGUCGUGAGAUGUUGGGUUAAGUCCCGCAACGAGCGCAACCCUUAUUGUUAGUUGCCAUCAUUCAGUUGGGCACUCUAGCAAGACUGCCGGUGACAAACCGGAGGAAGGUGGGGAUGACGUCAAAUCAUCAUGCCCCUUAUGACCUGGGCUACACACGUGCUACAAUGGGAAGUACAACGAGUCGCGAAGUCGCGAGGCUAAGCUAAUCUCUUAAAGCUUCUCUCAGUUCGGAUUGUAGGCUGCAACUCGCCUACAUGAAGCCGGAAUCGCUAGUAAUCGCGGAUCAGCACGCCGCGGUGA
rnacentral:rRNA from 1 species